AUCCCUAAUCCAAAAAUCUGAAAUCCAAAAUGCUCCAAAAUCUGAAAAUUUUGAAUGCUGAUAUGACAUCACAAGUGAAAAAUUCUACAUGUGACAUUACAUGACUGAUCCCAGUCAGAAUACAGACAGACUAAAGUGCUAAAAAAUCAUCUUCAGGCUAUGCAAAGAAGGUUUUGGCAUGAAUACAGCAGCAUUAAAUCCUGACUGGGAUAAAAUGUUGGAAACAAGAAACUCACGUGAGAGCCUCUCACUACUGAUCUGAAGAAAUAAUUUGCCAUGUUGGAGAAGCUCAUGGCAAGAAACUGCUGGCAGUUUCUUGGGGAUGCCAGGUGCCAUUAGGCACUGAUAGUUGCCUCUAAGAGCUGAGCCUACACCUUGACUUGUACAACUGCCUGGAAAUGAAUUAUGCCAAUAAAUUAUGUGAGAUUGGAAGUGGAUCCUCCUCUGGUCAAAUCUACGGGUGAGAAUGCAGCCGCAGUACACUUUGAUUGUAACCUUGUGAAAUUUAAGCAGAC